UUUUGUAACAAUAUCUUUGCCAAAUCCAGCAAGAAACGGCAUUCUCUUCACUAAUCCACCUUCAUGAUAAAAUUACAUUUGAU
rnacentral:sRNA from 1 species